AAAUAAGUGUAAUAUAUAAAUAAAUAUACAAGGAAAAAGAAGCUGUGAAUUUCACUUUCUGACUUUGUCAUGUGGACGCCAAAAGCCUUUUUUAGCAACAAGAAACUGUUCUUGCUGCAGAUUUACUGACCAAUGAAGUGAUUGAAGAAUUGAUCUAAGCUUGUUAAGCAUUGGCAUUGUGUCUUGAACUAAAACAUAUCCACCUGGUCUCACUAUUCUAUCCAUCUCCACAACUACUUCCACCACGUCGCAUCUUUGAGUUAAAUUUCCAAAGAGGAAGCUGGAAUGUAGAAGAUCGUAUGUCCGGGGAUAGGUAUUGAAGGACUCGCACCAGUCGUGGUAUAUACCAAUCAGCCCUCUGUCAAAGAUAAUGGAGAGAGUAUCUGGCUCACUGAUGGGAACGACGUUCAUUACCCAGAGGGGUCGAUCAAUGAUUGCCGAGGCAAACCCUCCGUAACCAGCAUUCAUGUCCAUCACGUUCCUCACGCUUGACCAGUUUAUAGAAAGGCCUCCAAGGUAAACAUCCGAGACCAAUGCUGCCCAGUGUUUUGUGUCCUCGUCAAAAAUA
rnacentral:misc_RNA from 1 species